CAUCGGGAACGAAACGCGCCGGGUUAAUACCUUGACGAACUGACGGUACCCGAGGAAUAAGCACCGGCUAACUCCGUGCCAGCAGCCGCGGUAAUACGGAGGGUGCAAGCGUUAAUCGGAAUUACUGGGCGUAAAGCGUGCGUAGGCGGUAAGUUAAGUCUGCUGUGAAAUCCCUGGGCUCAACCUGGGAAUGGCGGUGGAUACUGGCUUGCUGGAGUACGGUAGAGGAAGGUGGAAUUCCCGGUGUAGCGGUCAAAUGCGUAGAGAUCGGGAGGAACAUCAUUGGCGAAGGCGACCUUCUGGACCAGUACUGACGCUAAGGCACGAAAGCCUGGGGAGCAAACAGGAUUAAAUACCCUGGUAGUCCACGCCCUAAACUAUGCGAACUGUAGGUUGGGUGCAACUUGACACGCAGUCCCGAAGCUAACGCGUUAAGUUCGCCGCCUGA
rnacentral:rRNA from 1 species